ACUUACACAGCGCCGCAGCCUCAGCCUGAGAUUCUUCAGCUUUUCUCCUAGGGAGUUCACAUGCUCUUUGAUGCCUGGUUCAUGGUUCUCAGCCUGCGGCAUCACCUCCUCCAGCCCAAUCAAGGCCUUUCCUGAUUGACUAUAAACCUGUUGAUAACUUCAUGGAGUGCCUGGAGUUCCAGAUCAUCAGAAUGUUCUUUCUUCCAUUGAUAUUUGCCCUGGUGUAGACACUGAAAUGUAGAGCCUUUCAAGGACUUGCCCGAGAGGAAGUCCUUGAAAGGAACUAGAACUUUGGUCUUCCAAUAAUCAGUUCAUUCCUUCCCCCACAACAGCAUGCUGAGAUGACAAUGUGGCGCCCAUAAUUGUUAAACGGUUUAAACGUGUCACGAGGGUGUGGUUCUUUUAUCAUGCCAUUUUCUCAAUACCCCAGAAGAAAACCUGAGCUUCACGGCAUUCGGCCUCUUCCUCUGGUUGUGCCCAAGGUUAUGAGCUGGGAAGGGAAAAUACGCACUGCCUUCCAAAUAGAAAAAGAAAGAGAGAGAAAAAAAAUAACAACCCAAGUUUGGAAACUGUAGAAAAUAAACAAGUUUGAAUCUCAAUAUGGUUCAUCGGCAAAAUUUUCCCCAGAGCCAACAGCCUGUGUCAGAGCUAGAUUUUCCACUCCAGCUACUGUGAUUUGGUUGUGGCACCCUUGGUUUCUUUCCUUUCGAUGGAGACAGACUCUGACGCAGGUUUAGGGCUCCAGCAGGUGUGUGGGGGUUUACAAGCUUGUCCCAGCCUCUAACACUUCAUCCCCUUUCCGCCCCACCCCUGCCCACCUCUGACAGGACCAGGUUAGGGGGUAGAAGCAGUUGCUGGAAAGGUGCUAGGGGUUUUGCCAUCUCUGGAAUCCCCUUAGCACACACCCCAGCCUUAAGGCAGUGCCGGCAGGAGAGAAGGCAAGAGCCUCUAUUCCACAGGAGUUUCUCUUA